UACGGGGGGAGCAAGCGUUGUUCGGAUUUACUGGGCGUAAAGGGCGCGUAGGCGGCGUGGUAAGUCACUUGUGAAAUCUCCGAGCUUAACUCGGAACGGUCAAGUGAUACUGCUGUGCUAGAGUGCGGAAGGGGCAACUGGAAUUCUCGGUGUAGCGGUGAAAUGCGUAGAUAUCAGGAGGAAUACCGGUGGCGAAGGCGGCCUUCUGGACGGUGACUGACGCUGAGACGCGAAAGCGUGGGGAGCAAACAGG
rnacentral:rRNA from 1 species